GUAUCAUAACUUCUUGGGUUUUGUGGUGAGUGCUACUUUUAAAUUGAACGUCGAUGGUUGCAUGUGGGUGAAUUUGGAAUGCAAAUUCAAGUCCAAUGAUGGCGAUAACUAUUGUAAUAGUACAGGCUUUGAGUUUGAGUAUUGUGAUGAUCAUAUAAUUCAAUCGACAAAGCACGUGUUCAUGUCCUACAAUAACGAGUUUUAUAUCCAUGUUGAGGAGAAAGGAGGCAGCAUGCCAUCUUAUAGUGAGGUAUCAUUUCAAUUUAUCAGUAAAGAUGACUAUGGAAAUCCUUUUCCUUCUUCCGCGGUUAUAAAGCGUGGGGUCCAACUACUCUACAAUGGUGAUACUGAUCAUGAAUCAAGUAAGCAUGAAGAUGAAUCCAGCGACACGUGCAGCUUCAUUGAGCAAGAAGAGGAAGCUGAUGUUGAUAAAACUAGUGACAAGUUGAGCUUCAUCAAGGAAGAAGAUGAAAUAAGUAGUUGGUCUAAUAAUGAUAAAGAGGAUGAAGUCAUUCAGGAAGAAGAGGAAGCUUCAGAUGAAAUAAAUAGCAGGUCAUAUCAAGAGGAUAAGGUUGAUGAAUUUAGUCCAGCAACACAUUCAGCUUCAUUAAGGAAGAAGAGGAAGCUGAUAGAA
rnacentral:misc_RNA from 1 species